ACUUCUCUUUAUUAUAACCCAAAAAAUAAAUAUUGCUACUAAUUUUUUAAAACCCAUGGCUCGGAACAGCUUCAUUUGCUUUAAUUUCGUCAAAGAGUGUGGCAAGUAUUAUAGCAACACCUCAACUUUAGUAACUUACCUUUUUUUUUAGGCAAUGGUGCAAUAGAAGUCCUCCCCAUAUCAUCGCCACAGAGGGAUCAGUUUAGUGUCAUUUUCCAAUAAGAUAUUGUGAUUAUCUGAUUUGAAGAGAUAGGGGAAGAGAGGAUUGAUUCAUUAAAUUGUAUAAAUUUUGAGUUAAAGUGAGAAAUUUUAGAGGUUCGAACCACCAGAAGAUAAAAAAACCUUCAAUUGAUUCGUAUAUUUCAUAAAAUCACAUAAUUUAUGAAAUUUCAAAGGUUAGAAGUUGAGGUUUCAAGAAUCAUCAUUUUGACUUUUGUCAUAUCAGGUACUAUCAAAAUUUUAUCUUUAGUCUUGUAGGAGUAAGUAUAAUUAUUAUUUAUUAUGUGGUUGUAUUAAUUUAAUGCUUGUGGACUUGACCCAGAAAACCUCAGAACAGGAAGAUCCUAUUCAAAAUGUUCAUCCUCCCCCAUGGCAGGCAUUAACGCAAGGAGUCCUUAACAUUGGUCCAAGUCAAGAUUUAAGAAGAUCAUAUAAUAAGAAGAUGCCGACUAUCUGUGGAAUUAGUCUGGACUUGAAAGCAAAGAUAGAUUGGGCUUAUCUUGUUAAGCACAAGAGUUCAAAAUGCUUAUGCCUUGCUGUUGAUGGCUCGCUUCUCCUGGCUGGUGCAGAUGCUGCAGCAUUUUGCCUCUCUAGUCUCAACUUUGCAUCUCUCAGUACAGAUAUAAAGUUAUGAUUGAAUCAGCACAAAUAUUUACAUUUAUUUUUCCCCGUCGCUUAAAUUGCUCUAUCUUACAAUCUUUGCUCAAAAUCAGUUUUGAUAGUUGUGCAUAAUAGUUCGAAAUUAUUGAAUAUUUUGUGGCUGAUAGUAGUGGUGUGAAUUAAACACAAGGGGAGUUUUAGUAUUCUCGUUUGAGUGGAGCUUUUGAGAGCUGUAUCAGAAUAGCUUUCUUGUUUUGCUCAUGCUAAAAUGCUUGUUCUGUUUCUUUUUUCGUGCCCUGGCAGUAUAUACAUCCGUAUGAGCAUGAAAAGCUAUCUCAGUUAGAAUUGUUAGUUGUUGAUGAAGCAGCAGCCAUUCCAUUGCCUGUUGUGAAGUCCUUGCUAGGUCCUUAUCUGGUUUUCCUUUCAUCCACUGUCAAUGGAUAUGAAGGCAUGGGGCGUUCUUUAUCAUUAAAACUUCUGCAACAACUAGAAGAGCAAAGCCAUAUGCAAGCUAAGAAUACGGAGAGCUCUGUCUCUGGUGGAAGAAAUAUAUAGAAAAUGAAGGAUUUUUCUGAUUAUAAGAAGAAUUAUAUGACUGUAGAAGAGAAUUUUUAUCUAAGCCGAUGGAUCACUCCAAGAGGCCUCAGGUAUCAUCUGGUUAGGAAGGAAUUACUCCAAUAUUUCGCCCUCUCAAGCCUCACCAAUUUCAAGGACUGGUGAUUUUGUUACUGCAAAAUAUUAUGAACACAACUAGCUAAUUGCUGUCAUCAGAGUAGCGUGAUUGUUGGCAUGGGUUGUUAAUAGUUUGGCAUUGGUAUCAUUAGAUUGUUAAGGGUAUUCUGAUUGGAAUUUACAGUAGGCCUAACAGGUUUGGCUGAAGGUGAAUGGCUUCUGCUUGAAGUUGGUCUAGUGAUGCACCUAAAUUGGGCCUUUUUAAGUUUCUUGUCAGACGCCUGCUGGUUUUAUUUUCUUUUGAACUUUAAUGUACCAUGAAGCAUCAAUUUAUGCUGUCAUGGUAUGAAACAUUUAGGGGUUGUUUGGUAUCAUUUCUAUCUUAGGUUUUCUAUUUUUGUUUCUAUACAGUGAAGAAACAAGUUAUGGAAAUGCGUUUUACUUUGCCCA